UAGUGGAAGCUUAGUGGAAGCGUCUGGAAAGGCGCGCGAUACAGGGUGACAGCCCCGUACACAAAAGCGCAUGUGCUGUGAGCUCGAUGAGUAGGGCGGGACACGUGGUAUCCUGUCUGAAUAUGGGGGGACCAUCCUCCAAGGCUAAAUACUCCUGACUGACCGAUAGUGAACCAGUACCGUGAGGGAAAGGCGAAAAGAACCCCGGCGAGGGGAGUGAAAAAGAACCUGAAACCGUGUACGUACAAGCAGUGGGAGCCCCACCACCAAAGCAUUCUCUGGUGUUGAAGGCCCUGCAAAGCAGCAUCGCGGUGGCGGAGCGUCGUUUGCGACGCCCAACACACAAAACAAGCGGUGAGUGCUUUGGGGUGGGGUGACUGCGUACCUUUUGUAUAAUGGGUCAGCGACUUAUAUUCUGUAGCAAGGUUAACCGWAUAGGGGAGCCGGAGGGAAACCGAGUCUUAAUUGGGCGUUAAGUUGCAGGGUAUAGACCCGAAACCCGGUGAUCUAGCCAUGGGCAGGUUGAAGGUUGGGUAACACUAACUGGAGGACCGAACCGACUAAUGUUGAAAAAUUAGCGGAUGACCUGUGGCUGGGGGUGAAAGGCCAAUCAAACCGGGAGAUAGCUGGUUCUCCCCGAAAGCUAUUUAGGUAGCGCCUCGUGAAUUCAUCUCCGGGGGUAGAGCACUGUUUCGGCUAGGGGGC
rnacentral:rRNA from 1 species